UACGAAGGGGGCUAGCGUUGCUCGGAAUCACUGGGCGUAAAGGGCGCGUAGGCGGUUUCUCAAGUCAGAGGUGAAAUCUCACGGCUUAACCGUGAAACUGCCUUUGAUACUGUAAGCCUUGAGUUAGAGAGAGGUUGAUGGAAUUCCAGGUGUAGCGGUGAAAUGCGUAGAUAUCUGGAGGAACACCGGUGGCGAAGGCGGCAUCCUGGACCGAUAUGACGCUGAGGCGCGAAAGCCAGGGGAGCAAACGGG
rnacentral:rRNA from 1 species